rnacentral:lncRNA from 1 species
GACGUGAGCAAGUCCAGUGCAGCCUGGGGAAAGCUAUAACCUGCUGGACGCCCGUGACGCCUCAUGACCCCCCACAUGCCAGGCCAAGACUCCACCUGGAGACAAGUCUACAGCCGAGCAGCCUGCCGGUGCCCGAGCCUCGCCCAGGCCUGGACCCCCGGCUUCUCCCGGGAGAGCCCCGCAGGCCGUGGAUGGUGCGAGGCGCCCCCCGCGAAGCCCUCGCUGCCUUCCGCCUGCGCCAGCUCUGCCCUCUGCUUUCUUUCCCUUGCCCGGCGGCUCCGCAGCUCUGGGCCCCAAGGGUGCCUCCUCCGCUCUGCGUUGGCCUCAUCUGACCUCGCGUCAGGUUACGACGUGUGUGCACAGGUGAACCAAGCACAUGAUUUGGGGUUUUCGUUGGGGUGUGCUGCGUGAUAACCUGUCUGUCGCUAACAGCAGGGACGGCGCGUGUGGUUGCGAAAUACUGUCAUCCAUUUGCACCCAAAUCUGGGGACUCAUUGACCCCUUUCCACUUCUUUCAGUUAAAAUUGCAUUAAAGCAUUGAAAAAAUCUAAUUACCUUAAUGAACAAUAGGAAACAUGAAAGAAGAGGGAAAACCCAGAAACACAAGGGCCGCUGGCGGGUUUCUUCCUAGGAGGAGGGGGCGGGGCGGGCUGGCCCCCGGCGCCCAACGAACGGCCCAGCCGCUUGCCCGAGCCGAGCCCCCGGAAGUGCUCCCUGUGUCCGUUAGGGGUUAGGCACCUUCUGCUUAGUGUUAUUUUAUUUCCUUAACUAAAAGCAGCACAUGCGCAUGGAGCACAGGAGCCCCGAGAGCCGGUAGCCAGCCCCCCCGGGGUCGACUGCUGUUAAGGGCUCCUCGGCACCUGCUGGCCCGUCCUGCGCCCCCGGCCCUGCUGUCUACUGCUGAGGAUUGACCCGGUUCAUCCACGUGUCCACACGAGGGCCACUCACAUUUCACCUUAAAAGCAACUACUUCAGGGUGCUUCCCGGACGAAUCCAAGCUACUGUGAAGAAUUUUGUCGCGCAAUCAAAAGAAAGUGGACUGUGAUCCUGCUGUGAACUGGGACCCUGAUAAAACAUCACGUCCCAACCGCUCCUCACAGCGCUGACGCUGGGUCUGCCCUAGACC